rnacentral:snoRNA from 1 species
AUAUUUAGAUUGGGGCACUUUUUGAAGUAAUCUUUGAAUCUUAUCCAUGCUUCUAGAUAACUCUCGAUGACUCUUUGCUUGAAAUUAUGGACUUCAUUUCUGAUUU